rnacentral:rRNA from 1 species
GACGAACGCUGGCGGCAGGCCUAACACAUGCAAGUCGAACGCCGUAGCAAUACGGAGUGGCAGACGGGUGAGUAACACGUGGGAACAUACCCUUCGGUUCGGAAUAACUCAGGGAAACUUGAGCUAAUACCGGAUACGUCCGCGAGGAGAAAGAUUCAUCGCCGGAGGAUUGGCCCGCGUCUGAUUAGCUAGUUGGUGAGGUAAUGGCUCACCAAGGCGACGAUCAGUACCGGCCUGAGAGGGCGCACGGACACACUGGAACUGAAACACGGUCCAGACUCCUACGGGAGGCAGCAGUGGGGAAUUUUGUCGCAAUGGCCUAACGGCUGACGCAGCGACGCCGCGUGAGGGAUGAAGCUCUUCGGAGUGU